rnacentral:lncRNA from 1 species
UGAAUGUUUUUUCAGGUGAGCAAGAAAUGGUAAUUCCUAAUUGCAAAAAGUAGUUCAAUUGUACUUAGGUGUUUUUAGCGUGAGUUUCGGUGUUUACGGGAAUGCUGGCUGCAACGAGGUGCAAGAGGAAUUCCAAAGGAAGCUCUCUGCCCGCUGAUCGCCCUCCGCGAGUUCGUCACCAGUUCCGUUUGCCGAAUUUCGAAUUUCUCUCGUGUUGAAACAACGCCGAGAGACAAUCCUCGUCUCGAGGUCAGAACUACCCUCGACGAUCAGCAAGGAGGCUUCAACCACCCGAUAUAAAUACUAAUUACCACCGAUCGGGGCCCAUUUCAGUUUGGCACUCAUACAGAGUGCGACAGUGAGCAGUGUUUCUACCAAAAGGAUAACCUCCCUUCAAAAUGAAUCGGUAUAAACUAUCGAUCGUGCUCCUGCUCUUGAGCACGGUGGCCAUUGCUUUGGCCAAUGAGGCCAACGAAGAAGCCUUGAAGGACGCAGAUUCAGACUCUACUCACACGGGUGCCGAGCCUCAGAAGCGCUCCCUUAAGAAGUUCAAAAAGCUCAAAAAGCUGGCACUCCUUAAAAAAAGGGGCCUUGGUUCCUUCCAGAGUUCGAGGUCGAAGAGGUCAAAGAAACUUCACCUCUCCCCGUGUUUAAAGUACACAAAUACGCCGGGAUCGAAGUCAAGCCUAUCCCCACCACCCCGCCACCACCACCCCCCACCGCCGGCAGUCUACGGACCACCAUCGCCACCGCCAACCGUCUACGGACCACCCGAAGCCGCUGCAGCAGCCGUAGCUACCUCUGAAGGCAAAGGAAACCCCGACCUGGCAAUCCUCGACUCCCUGGGCCCCCUCGUCUCCGGCGAAGGCGGUGUGGAUCUAUCCGCUCUUUUGAGCAUCGCUGGUAGCGGUGAAAUCCCGUUGGAAGCCAUUGAAACCCUCUCCCAGAUCGCCAAGACCAACCCCAAACUCGUGGCCAGCAUCGUAAACGGACUGAAGAACCCCAAGAAGGCCAAGAAAGCUGGCAUCAUCGCUGCUUUGCUGAAACUCAAGGCCAAGAAGAAGCUCCUGAAGAAGAAGCCACUGAAACUCUUGGCCAAGGGAGUCGCCGCCAAGGCCGCCAUCACCAAGAAGAAGCUCUUCACCCCCUUCGCUUUGGUGGCCGCUGAGGGCGCCAAGGUCGCAUCCGCAGUCUCCUCCAUCCCCUCCAACAUCGCCGGCUACAUCUGGCCUGAAGAAGAAACCGGACCCUACGAAGCCGAGCUCCCCUCCCCGCAAGAAGUUUCACCCCUCUUCUCCCUUGAAGCUCUAUCACCCCUCCCCGGUCUCCCGCUCCUGAAAUUCCCCGGCAAAUACAAGCUCAAGAAGCACCACCCUUAUGUCAGCGUUAAGCUCCCAACCACCCAUCAACCCGCACCUCCCCCACCACCACCCACACCAGCGCCCGUCUACGGACCUCCACCGCCAGUAGAGCCCGUCCACGUCUAUGGUCCCCCUCCACCACCACCACCACCACCACCACCACCACCACCUCCACCACCAGCACCCCCCGUAGAUGUUUACGGCCCACCCCAAGCCCCAGCAGCCACCUACGGCGUGCCCUCUGCCCUUGCCCCCGGUACCCACCUCGAACCCCCUCCACUACCCUUGGAUACCCCCAGACAAGUAGCAGCCGCCGCUGCAGUUGACUCCUACCAAGUUCCAAUUGCUGUCUACGCCCAAGGCCAGCGCUUCAUCACCCCGGCCGGCACGACGCUGACCGCACCUGCUUACUACAACGUCGACUCAUUCUUGGCAGCCUCGGAGAACGACGAGGUGGAGGCAGAAGGUGACGAAGGCCACGAGGAGGUUGAGGAGAUCGAGCACGUGGUGGCACGAGGAAACCACAGCGAGCACGCCGAACACGGAAAGCAGACGGCUCAUGCUCUGCCAUCCCACAAUGUCCACCAUGUCCAGGCUGAGCGUGAACACGCUCACCACGCUGAACACGCUCAGCGUGCUGAACACGGGCAUGAGGCUGCCGAGCAUGAACACGUGCAAAGACCAGUGACCAAUCAGAUGAGGAGGUCGCCACCUCCGGCCGAGCAGAAGCACGAACAGCAGCCAGAGCAGUUUGUGCGAGGAGAAGUUUUCGUCGUUCCUCUUAACCAUGCUACCGAAGACACACAUCAACAGGAGCAUGCCAGUGAAGAAUCAAAUUCUGGAUCUCAUUAAUUUUGAGAUUCUCCAGCAAUGAUGCCAUAUCAUUAAUUUAAUGUAAAUAUUUUUUAAAUUUUUAUUUUUUUCUUAAUUUUAGCCUUAGGAUAAAUUUCUUUCUUAGGAUCUUCUGUUUUCCUUCUAAUUCACUUUUUUUCAAAAUGAUUUUUUGACAUUCAACCAAGUUGACUAUUCUUCAUGAUAAAUGAAUGAAUCUGUAUGCUGUGUCCGUUCAGAUAAACAUUCUGCCGAGAAAUAAAAUUAAUUUUACAUACUACAGUAAUUUUACCUCCACCCUGUGGCCUGUGGCUCAUCAACAAGCAAGGUUGCGUGACUUUCUUUCCCAAAAACCAUGUAUUGCAGACCAAAAGUAACGGAUUUAUACACGUCUUUUAUAUGCCUAUGGUCAUCAUAUAAUUCCAAAUAUUCGCCUCACUUUGAGUAUUUCAUCAAUGUAACUACCCUUGCGAGUGGAUCUUCAUGAAAUAGCAAAAUGAUUUCUCCUGAAAAAUUCAUAAAACAAUAAUGAAAAUAGAAUCGUACAAAUGGUAAUGAAGUUCCAUUUUUCAAAAACUUAGUACGAUAUAAAAGCUACUUUUAGGGUACAACUGAAAACUUUCUAAACUUGAAACUGCCUCAAGUUUUAGUCAAAGGUAAAGACAUGAUUUGCUUUAGUAAUUAAAUUAUUUGUUACUUUGCUGAACCACUCAGUCUAGAGAGAUGUCAGCAAAAGCCGCAAAACCCCUCAGGUCAGAAUAGACUGUGAGCUUUGACAAAACGAUUAUCUUCUCAAUAAUAAGUAUUAUCAACUUCAAUAUAGAAAUAUUUUGCCGUGAAAGCAAAGAGUUCCAAACCAAAUCUGCUUAAAAUGAUCUCCAAAAAACAUAUGUAUAAUUUUUCUUAUGUGAUAAUCAUAAUGAAUUUUGAGUUAGGUAUGUCAAAAUUCCAGUUUCGGAGUCCGCAAAUUUUACAUGUUUAUUAAAGCAUAUUGCUAAUUUCUGAAUCAAAAAACAUAGUUUACUUUCGCACUGAUUGGUAUGCUAAAUUUUGAAUCGACUUUUACGUCUGGUAAUAUUUUGAUAAAGCUUUUUCAAUUUUUUAACCCAUGACCAGAAUUGCUAAAUAGGUCUACUGCACACAAGAGGUACAGCCAAUGGGAUUGACAUUCUUCAGGUAAAAUCGUACGUAAAUCACUAUAGGCAUGACAAAAAUUCUGAAGCCACAGCGUGUAAUAUGCGUUGUGUGUAAUUGCUUUUUCAAAUUUUCUGCGUCAUGAGCAGUUAUUCUUAGUAGUUGACUACCAGAUUUGCACAGAGAGACUUGAUAAAUCCUAACCCAAUUGAACAAAAAAAUAUCAAAAUUGUUUUUCUCUCGCGUAUGACCUCAAUCGUUUUUCAGCGUUUAUGUCCUCCUCAUUUUUUGCAUCUUGCUUUGCAAAAUCAAAAAUCUUGAAUCAAUUGAAGACAUAUGUGGGAAAUUUUUGUGAUAGUUCUCGAGAUGAGUGGUUACUUUAAGGUCAGGUUUUUUGCGUCUCUCUCCGGACAAAAUUUAUAACCGGCCACUUAGAAAAACUUUCCGCAGAUGCAGAAGUCUUACUAACUACUUACAAUAAAUGAAUUUUUAGAUUCUAUAUAAAAUCAUGUUCUAAAUAUCUAGUUGUUACAAAAUACUUUCAUCAAAAAUUGUUUUACUUAUUGUGAGCUGUGGAUUUCAGAAUUUUUGCAGUGACAAUCGUGAUUUUAAGCAAUUUUAUCCACGGAAAGGCUAUUCAUUCAUUUGUAACUCUUGCGAGCAAACGACCCGUUUUAUUUAUUAUCAACAAAUUCAAUUCUUGGCUCCAAGAACUUUUCCUCUUAAAGUGAAUUCAAUCCAAGUCAUAUCAUUAUGUUCUAUGUUAAGUUUUAAAGUAAAAUACGCACUCCUCUCUCUUAAAAAUUUAAAAACUUGAAUUUUUAGUGUAAUACAUGUACUCAGGUGCUGACCAUUCUCUGAUGUGUAUGCCUACUCAUAAGAUAAAUACAUUUUCAGUGAAUAAAUGAG